UGAGACUAGAUUUAUCGAGAAACUCCAGGGGUGUUAAGGUUAAGCUUGUUAAGCGGGGAGCUAAUAAAUGUUCAGUGCGUCCCGUUUUAAACAUUCUUUUGGCUACUCGUUAAUACACUGAAAUUUGCCAUUUUUUCAUACAAACUUGAGGGACACUCUUUUUCACGACACACGAUUGUUUGAAGGUUGAUUUUCACUAGACGUCAAUUGAAUGGUGCAGUUCCUAUCUGCAGCCCUACAGUGUGUAAAAGUAGACAGGGAAAAAGUCUGCUCAACGUGCUGAUUCGCACAAUGCCGUCUUCUUGUAAGCAAAACUAUUAUUGACUACUUUCAUUCUCUAAGUCUUGGUGGUCAAGCAAGAUGGUGUUUGGAACACACAGUGACCCAGAGUUGUUUACCUUUUGCACAUUCUGUGUCAGCUUCUAUUCACCCAAGUAAUCAAUAAUUACUUGUGUGUCUCCCCUAAAGCCAAGGAUUCCAGCAGCUGCUUGCUUCAUUUAAAUUCAGUUAACAGUCAAAUUUGCCAGCUGUUCCUAGUUUAAUGGGUGGCUACUGUUUAGUGUGAGUAACAUUUAGCAUCAUCUGAUUUAAGUGCAAGAAAUAUUAAGGGAAAAAUGACUCUUUGAAUAAAAAUCACGCACCAAUCCUUUACACCCAACAAAACAACAACAGAAGAGCUUAUCAUGGUAUAUUAGGUGCUGUAAUAGUAUGUUUGCAGAAUUGCAAAAUCGAUUGCCUGAAGAAUGUACUCAGCAUUGAAAAAUGUGCACAGCAAAAACGGUUUGUCGCAAUUCUAAACGUCAUACGUACAGAUUUCCCGGUUGGACGAGCGGGUCAUGAAGGAAAUGGAAGAAAAUUCGCUGUAUUACAUGGCAAGAAGAAUACAACCUUGACGUCACUUCUGUGCUGCAGAAAAAUCAGCAAAUCAAAAAUACAUCCUAAUUUCUGCCGUUCCGUCAGUCACUCCAAUGCUUUCGACAACACGAAAACAGUAGCAUUCUUCAAUCAGACUGCUCCUGAUUGCCUUGAAGAUGUAUCGCUCGUGCCCGGUGAGAAAUUUCAGAGGACUGUGUUGUAAAUUGGCAUCACCUUUAGGAAGAUUUAAAUCACAUGUCUAGUGUGAAAGCGAUCAUGUGUCUGUUACCGAAAAUGACUCUACGUGCGCGACGUCAGAACUCCCAGGUGUGUCAUUCUGAUACAGAGUUCCUGAAAUGAAGUUGAUCGGUUUGAACCAUCUCAGGCUAAAGCUGAAGUUCUAGUUCAUUUUGUUGUUUGCAGAGGUUUUAGGAAGUGGUUGCUUUUUGGUUAGUUUCUUCACCGUUAGAUGCAUCAAUCGGAAUGGUGUUCACUUCCUCGACGUCAUUGCUCACAAAACUUUUAUGCAUUAUUCUGAUCUCGAGGUUAUAUCGACCCACAAAGGCAAAUUGGAAGAAGAUCAAACUCACGUGACAUCGCGGCUCGUCCGGCAACUUACCAUCCAGCAGGAAACUAAUUGACUACAUGCCGUCUCGACGAUUUCCAUGCAAGAUGAAUGUUAAAGUCCAAGGAGAUCUGGUGAGUAGAAUGCAACGGACUAUGUCAUGUCAAACCAUUAGCUGAAUACAAUGAAUACUAUCAGUUCUCCAUAACGAGAGGCCAACAUAGGUUAGUAAUCAUACUGAAUCAAAAGAGGUACUUAGUUGAACGAGAUUUUAAAACGAUAACGGAUCGCAGUAGUGCAUGUGGGAAUUUCGAAGAACGCUACCUGCACGUUACCUUUAGUCGCGGAUUCACCUCGAAAAUAAAUUGUAAAAAUUUUUAUAAAUUGAAGUGCAUAUCCGGGCUCCCUUCAUUUCUGUGGCCCCGUUUCCCCUUGACUUGUGAUAAGCCCGUAGGGGGUCAUGCCCCUACUGUGAUCAG